GGAGAUGUGGCCGAGUGGUCGAAGGCACACCCCUGCUAAGGGUGCAGGCCCGGAAGGGUCUCGAGGGUUCGAAUCCCUUCGUCUCCGCCA
rnacentral:tRNA from 8 species